AAACGCAGCCUUAGAGUACAACGG
rnacentral:miRNA from 1 species